GGGAUGGAGUCCUGUGGCAUUCACGAGACCACUUUCAACUCCAUCAUGAAGUGUGACGUGGAUAUCCGAAAGGACCUCUAUGCC
ensembl:miRNA